rnacentral:rRNA from 1 species
CUGAGAGGAUGACCAGCCACACUGGAACUGAGACACGGUCCAGACUCCUACGGGAGGCAGCAGUGGGGAAUAUUGCACAAUGGGCGCAAGCCUGAUGCAGCCAUGCCGCGUGUAUGAAGAAGGCCUUCGGGUUGUAAAGUACUUUCAGCGGGGAGGAAGGGAGUAAAGUUAAUACCUUUGCUCAUUGACGUUACCCGCAGAAGAAGCACCGGCUAACUCCGUGCCAGCAGCCGCGGUAAUACGGAGGGUGCAAGCGUUAAUCGGAAUUACUGGGCGUAAAGCGCACGCAGGCGGUUUGUUAAGUCAGAUGUGAAAUCCCCGGGCUCAACCUGGGAACUGCAUCUGAUACUGGCAAGCUUGAGUCUCGUAGAGGGGGGUAGAAUUCCAGGUGUAGCGGUGAAAUGCGUAGAGAUCUGGAGGAAUACCGGUGGCGAAGGCGGCCCCCUGGACGAAGACUGACGCUC